UACGAAGGGGGCUAGCGUUGCUCGGAAUGACUGGGCGUAAAGGGCGCGUAGGCGGCGCACUCAGUCCGGCGUGAAAGCCCUGGGCUCAACCUGGGGACGGCGCUGGAGACGGGUGGGCUCGAGGACGGAAGAGGCUCGCGGAAUUCCUGGUGUAGCGGUGGAAUGCGCAGAUAUCAGGAAGAACACCCGUGGCGAAGGCGGCUCUCUGGGACGGUACUGACGCUGAGACGCGAAAGCGUGGGGAGCGAACAGG
rnacentral:rRNA from 1 species